GUGGGGAAUCUUGCGCAAUGGGCGAAAGCCUGACGCAGCCAUGCCGCGUGAAUGAUGAAGGUCUUAGGAUUGUAAAAUUCUUUCACCGGGGACGAUAAUGACGGUACCCGGAGAAGAAGCUCCGGCUAACUUCGUGCCAGCAGCCGCGGUAAUACGAAGGGGGCUAGCGUUGCUCGGAAUUACUGGGCGUAAAGGGCGCGUAGGCGGACAGCUUAGUCAGAGGUGAAAGCCCAGGGCUCAACCUUGGAAUUGCCUUUGAUACUGGCUGUCUUGAGUUUGGGAGAGGUGAGUGGAACUCCGAGUGUAGAGGUGAAAUUCGUAGAUAUUCGGAAGAACACCAGUGGCGAAGGCGACUUGCUGGGCAGCAACUGACGCUGAGGCGCGAAAGCCAGGGGAGCAAACGGGAUUAGAAACCCGGGUAGUCC
rnacentral:rRNA from 1 species